GAAUAUUGCACAAUGGAGGAAACUCUGAUGCAGCGACGCCGCGUGAAUGACGAAGGCCUUCGGGUCGUAAAAUUCUGCCCUUGGGGACGAUAAUGACGGUACCCAAGGAGGAAGCCCCGGCUAACUACGUGCCAGCAGCCGCGGUAAUACGUAGGGGGCGAGCGUUGUCCGGAAUUAUUGGGCGUAAAGGGUUCGCAGGCGGUCUUUUAAGUCAGAUGUUAAAUGCAUAGGCUCAACCUAUGAGUGCAUUUGAAACUGGAAGACUUGAGUUAAGGAGAAGAAAGUGGAAUUCCUAGUGUAGCGGUGAAAUGCGUAGAUAUUAGGAGGAAUACCAGUGGCGAAGGCGACUUUCUGGACUUUUUCUGACGCUGAGGAACGAAAGCAUGGGGAGCAAACA
rnacentral:rRNA from 1 species